rnacentral:tRNA from 1 species
UCUCCUGUAGCUCAGCGGUAGAGCAUCUGACCGGUGUGCAGAAGGUCAUAGGUUCAACUUCUGUUGAAGGAA